GAGUCCACUCUGUAGCAAAAUCGUGAAAAACCCCUGACCGCUCAACCUGAAGUGCCCAAGUGACCCAAGUGACCCAGGGGUCUCCGACUGAUGGUUCGAAUCUCCAGCUUUCAGGAGGCAAGAAGCACAAAUGAAGCCCAGAGAGACCCCAGUCCUGAUGUCAGCAGCCCUGGUAGCUCCCAACCUGGAGUUAGCCAGACAAGUCAAUGUGGUCAGACACAAGGACCUACUGUACUCUACCACCACCGCCGCCAGUUUCAUCAAGGGAUGAGAGUGACACUGAUACCUCUGCCUCUGAGGAGGAAGACAGUGAGCAAGAGGAGGAGAUGCCACAGAAGAACCCCCCACAUCCACAUCAAGCACCAUGUAUUGUGCACCAAAAGGACCAAGUGAUAUCUCAAAAUCAAGAGAAGAGGGUCCUGUUCAGCCAUGUCUGAAAAAGUUUCCAAGAACCCAGUAUGGAAGUAGGAAGAGGGCAUUCAACAGCUCCUGGUAUAGUGACAAUCCAUGGCUGGAGUAUUCUGUACGUCAAGAUGCUUGCUCCUGUCACUUCAUGCUAUGGUCAUUAUUAAUCUAAACUUCGCACUAUGUUCUACUUAUACCUCAGAAUUGGCCACUUGGUGCUAGGGUCAUGAUUAGUCGAAACUUUGCACUAUGUUCUACUUAAACCUACCACUUGGUGGUGCCUGGGGUCAUGAUGAAACUGCACUAUGUAGCCUAGACCUAAGAUAAGGCAUAAGAUAAUUUGGCAUUUAGCCUACUGCAUACAGACUCCUGGUCAUGUUGAAAACUUACCUGUCAUGUCAAAUUGCCUGGCUUUGUAGGCACAUAUUGUAUAAUACUUUUACAUUUUCUCUGUAAAUAAACUCUGAAGGAUUUCAUUCAGAGUUUAUUGGGCAGAAUUCUAUGUUCAAAUCCCAUUGUGUUU